CGCCCUAAUAAGCUAAAUGGCAGCAUUUAA
rnacentral:tRNA from 1 species